GACGAACGCUGGCGGCGUGCCUAAUACAUGCAAGUCGAGCGAAUCACUGGGAGCUUGCUCCCGGUGGUUAGCGGCGGACGGGUGAGUAACACGUGGGCAACCUGCCUGUAAGACUGGGAUAACACCGGGAAACCGGUGCUAAUACCGGAUAAUCCUUUCCUGCACAUGCAGGAAAGCUGAAAGUCGGUUUCGGCUGACACUUACAGAUGGGCCCGCGGCGCAUUAGCUAGUUGGUGAGGUAACGGCUCACCAAGGCGACGAUGCGUAGCCGACCUGAGAGGGUGAUCGGCCACACUGGGACUGAGACACGGCCCAGACUCCUACGGGAGUCAGCAGUAGGGAAUCGUCCACAAUGGACGAAAGUCUGAUGGAGCAACGCCGCGUGAGCGAUGAAGGCCUUCGGGUCGUAAAGCUCUGUUGUUAGGGAAGAACAAGUACCGGAGUAACUGCCGGUACCUUGACGGUACCUAACCAGAAAGCCACGGCUAACUACGUGCCAGCCGCCGCAGUAA
rnacentral:rRNA from 1 species